GGGGGGAGCAAGCGUUGUUCGGAUUCAUUGGGCGUAAAGAGCUCGUAGGCGGCUUGUCACGUCGGGUGUGAAAGCCCGGGGCUUAACCCCGGGUCUGCAUUCGAUACGGGCUAGCUAGAGUGUGGUAGGGGAGAUCGGAAUUCCUGGUGUAGCGGUGAAAUGCGCAGAUAUCAGGAGGAACACCGGUGGCGAAGGCGGAUCUCUGGGCCAUUACUGACGCUGAGGAGCGAAAGCGUGGGGAGCGAACAGG
rnacentral:rRNA from 1 species